rnacentral:lncRNA from 1 species
CUGGGAGGCAGAGACCCUGUCUUCAGGUGUUGGCUGAAAGAAAUGGUAACUUAUUUUGGCAGCCUUGAGCUUUCUCAUGCAGGCACAUGAAGGGGACUAGUGUCAUCUUAGGGAAUGCGGCCUCGCACCAUUGGAAACGAUGAUUCUAAAGGCCAUUUCCAAAUAGAGAAGCUGCCAGAACAAGCACUGCUGCCCUUGGAGGCCACUGACAUUGUGAGGUCGCUGGGACUGAAAUGAGGUUGACUAGAAGUUCUGUUUGGCAAUGCAAAGCCAGGAGGAAAAGUUAAUGGAGUUUGUCCCCUGGGUCCCAAGAAAGCUGACCCAGGACAAUGAAGCUAGAAUUUGUGUUCUAGGAGGUGCUGCUUCUUCCAGGAAAGUCUACUCAAAGCACACACCGUGAGCUGCUGCAUGUCUCUUGAGCUAGUUCACUGCAGUUUUCAUGAUGAAAGUGAUCUGUUUCAGUAAACUUUCUGGUAUUUGAGAGCAUGGGAAAAAUAUUUGCUGUGGUUUCCCAGUUCCCCAUUUUUUCUGAUUCUUUGUUGCAGUUUCCACAACUUUGUUAUCAGGCUGUGACAGAGGUUUGUGAACUGAUGAAAGCUCCCGAGCCUCCCGGGCCCUCUGAGUCUGAUGCCUGCACUCCACAAUCAGGCCACAAGCUCAGGGCACCCACCACCAACCCAUGCUGGGCUUCAGGGGCAGGCAGCACUUGAAUGGGGUUUGGUUAUUGUCUUUCUUUAUUUUCUCUUAUUUUAAGCCUUAAAAAAAAAAAAAAAAAAAAAAAAGAUAAGGUCUCGCUCUGUUGCCCAGGCUGGAGAGAAAUGGUGCGAUCAUAGCUCACUGCAGCUUUGAAUUCCUGGGCUCAACCGAUCCUCCCACCUAAGCCUCCCGAGUAGCCAGGACUGCAAGUAUGCACCACCACACCCAGUUAAUUAAAUUUUUUUUGUGUGUGUGUUUGUGUAGAGGUGGGUUCUUGCUUUGUUGCCCAGGCUGGUCUUGAACUCUUGAGUUCAGACAAUCCUGCCACCUCAACCUCCCAAAGUGCUGGAAUUACAGGCAUGAGCCACCGCACUCAGCCUCCUUAAGCCAUUUUCUUAAGUGGCUUUAUUGCAAAACAAUAUCAGAGUAACAAAGAAAUAUAAGGUCAAACUUUCCCUGUUCCCAUCUAGUCCAAUAAGCAUUGCUGCACUUGCCAGGGAUUCUCGCCCCUCUCCAGGUGCCCGUGCAAUCCAUACUGGUUGUUCUUGUUGGCUGCCCCACAUCUGAGUCUCUGCCUUGUCUGGGUUCUUCCCCACUUUAUGAAGAGAUGAGUCAGUGCCUGCUUUUUUCUGCCUCUCUUGUCACUAGGGCACAGCCAUGUGCGUGGGCCCUGUCACUCAGAAGACCCCAUCCACCAACAGCAUGGCUCUGGGGGCCUCCUCUCUAUGGAAGAAUUGGCAGUUUUAGCAAGAAAGGUUUUCAGAGGCGGCAAUGAUGGUGGUGAUGUCCAGGGCCAGUGGCAGGUCAAACCAUUCUCUGUGUCAUUUGGGGCAGUGUUUAUGCUGUCCCUAAUUUUGGUUCCCUAAGCCUCCGAACAUGUACAUGAAUUU